GCUCCCGUGGCGGAACUGGCAUACGCGACGGCCUCAGACACCGUACCUUUCGGGGAAUUGCAGGUUCAACUCCUGCCGGGAGCACCA
rnacentral:tRNA from 1 species